AGAGUUGAUCCUGGCUAGGAUGAACGCUAGCGAUAGGCUUAACACAUGCAAGUCGAGGGGCAGCACGGUGUAGCAAUACACUGGUGGCGACCGGCGUACGGGUGCGUAACACGUAUGCAACCUACCCGCUAUUGGGGGAUAACCCGGCGAAAGUCGGACUAAUACCCCAUAUUAUUCUUACCGGGCAUCCGGUAGGUCUGAAAGAUUUAUCGAUUGCGGAUGGGCAUGCGGAUGAUUAGCUAGUAGGUGGGGUAACGGCUCACCUAGGCGACGAUCAUUAGGGGUUCUGAGAGGAAGGUCCCCCCACACUGGAACUGAGACACGGUCCAGACUCCUACGGGAGGCAGCAGUGAGGAAUAUUGGUCAAUGGGCGCUAGCCUGAACCAGCCAAGUCGCGUGAAGGAUGACAAGAUCUAUGGUUUGUAAACUUCUUUUGCAGGGGAGUAAAGUGCGACACGUGUGUUGUAUUGCAAGUACCCUGCGAAUAAGCAUCGGCUAACUCCGUGCCAGCCGCUGC
rnacentral:rRNA from 1 species